rnacentral:lncRNA from 1 species
UUUCCUUUUCAUUUUUUUAAAAUAGCUUUAUCGAAGGAUAAUUGAAUGGAAAUGGUCAUUAAUAUAUAUCCAGAAUCUAUUAACGUUCGGCUAAGUUGGGGGGAACAUAGGGAUGUUUUAAGGCAACUAAGCGAUUUAGAAAACUUAAGUUCUUUAAUGUUUUCAAAGAAAAGGUUGAGUCUGUAAGAUAUAAUCUGGCAAUUUGUAUAGAACUCUUUCUACUAGCUUCCAGGAAUCCCUGCUCUGUGAGCUUUUUGCCAAACUGAUUGAUCUUCCCAGACAUAAUCUGGGGACCUUCUCUAAUAUGCCCCUGUCCCGCUGUCAGCUUAAUACACUCUUUUGCUAAGUAAUAGGGUAUUGCUAGUGUUCUUCCAGGUUCUCUUCAUAAAGGCGCUUCUCUGUCAAUAAGAGACUGUGUUUAUAUUCUUGUGCACAAAUAACUGGCCCUCUUCUCAGUGUUUGAGAUCCCUCAUCUUGCUCCGACUGUUGCAGCCUUUUCUCGCCAUGACAGACUGCCAUACUACAUGGCCUUCUCCCAUCGAAAGGGUCUAGCAUGUGGACCACUGAACUGCCAAGGAAGCAGUCCAACUGCCCUGAGGCUGCCAUGCUGUGAGGAAACCCAAAGUGGUCCAUAAAGAAGGAUUAUGUGGAGGGACCCUGAAAGAUGC